CGAGCGGCAUAAAAAGGAGUCCUCUCUGAGAUUUGAAUGGGAACAUAUGAGUCACAGCGUCAAGGCUAGCCCGGUGAAGCGCUCGCUGUUGUGGUUCUGCCAGUCCCGCUGCUGCACUAGUUUGGGAUUCACUGCACUAGUCAUCAUGGUUAGGUAGCACCAUGUAUGUCUUUCCUGCUGGAGCAAGCAGCACCUGUUGUCAGGGAGGCCUUCUCAGCCACAGUGUGAAGAGAAAAGACAAUUCUCUAAGAAUAAAAUGGAGGUGGAGCGUCGUUCUGUCAUAGCGCCAUGGGGAUCCUCCGCCGCCACUGUGUGAUGUCAUUCGGAGUAGAUUAGUCAUUAUCCUUCAAAACAAUGCGAGGUUAAUUGAAGACUCUAAAUUGUUCAGUGGCGUGAAUGAUUUAAGGAUUUUUAUUUCUUUUGCUCGUCACCUUGGUAGGUGCCCAUGUGCACAGUUGAGGCGGGAGUCAUAUAAAGUGUCUGCCAUUAUACAACGCAGCCAUAAAGGAUAAUGUAUUCAAAAUCAUUUCAACAUUUCUUACCCUUCAGUUGUGGCUCAUUUAAGAGUGAGGCAAGCGUGGGCUGAUGCAGACGUCAACAAAUGACC